UUAUGGGACUCUCAGUUACGUUAGCCUAAAGUCAUUCCAUUUCCCGGAAUCAUAUCGAGUGUCACGGUCCUAAUGCAAAAUUUCGUGGAAAAGCCACGGAGAUGAGCUUCUACAAAUGGAUAGCGAAUAUGUAAUUUCCUGGCUCAAUACGUAUACGUUUGGUGCCAAAAUAUUCGCAAUAAAUUUGAAGUAUUUUUUUCCUUAUUAAGUCGAUGGGACGCUUAAGCGGAAGGCGGAGGGAAUUCGUGCUAAUAAAUCAGGCGGUAACGAGUCUCUUGAUAAAGAGGAUGUGGGGCG